UGUGGGAGCUGGCUUGCCUGCGAUAGCGGCUUUGAACGUGCCGCCGCUAUCGCAGGCAAGCCAGCUCCCACA
rnacentral:misc_RNA from 1 species